UUCCUUCCUCAUUAAAAAAAAACUGCAGAACUCUCUCAUGCUCUCCAUGCCUUCCGACGAUCGGGCCUCUCACCGCCGAUCGCCCGUCCGCUGCAUCGCCACCAAAUCGACGGCCGACGAAGCAUGAGGAAGGGUUUUUAAAGCCCGGUUCCAGGUGGGCUGUGGGGUCGGGCUUUCGAGCCCCACAAGGACCGAAACAGAGGCCCAGACCCUACCUCUCGGAAUUCGGUCUCGACGACGGAGAUCCGCCCUCCGAAGGCGGUCACGGGGCGUCCGGUAAGUCUCUUCCUCUCUUUUUAUCUCAUUAUUUAAUAUAAAAAAAUCGAAAAUAAAAUAAAUAAAAUAAAAUAAAACAAGAUAAAAAACGGAAAAAAAAAAAGCUGAACCUCUAAAAAAGUCUUUUAUUUUCUGAUGUUCUUAAAAAAAGGGAACCCUUUACAUGCCACUGAUUUGGGCUUUUAUAUCCGCUUUAUACAACAUUUUGUUUCUUUUUUUUUGCCCUAUUUUGCUUUCUAUUGUUGCGUGUUUCCUUCUCUUUGCAGGUAAUUGAUGGGUGGUGGCAGUGAGUAGGUGGAGCAGAGGGCAGACGAUGGGACGUGACAUGCGGCGCACAUGGUCCUGGCGUGCGGCGUUGGAGGAGGGACUAGGGUUAGGAUUUCAGUUGUGUUUUACUGAAACUUAGUUAAUGUUUUGGGUCGUCGGGCUUUGGGCUUGUAACUUGGGUUUUUUAAUUUGGGCUAGUAUUGUAAUGUGAACUGGACUAUUAUUUGGGUUUUAUUAUUAUUAUUUGUUUUGAUUCUUUGGCCCCGGGCAAAAAUGGGUCUUUACAGGAACCUUUUCUCUGUUUCUCAUUACUACUUAUGGGGUUAGGAUUUUAAAACAAAUUUAAUGGGCUUCGCUACUCACACAUCCUAUUUAGUUUUAUAUUUUAACAUUUAUAUUCAUUUUUAAUUCUAAUUAUUAUUAUUGUUAAAAUUCUUCAAUUAAAUUUAUUGAUGUGAAAUUUUAAAAUUAUAAAAAUUUACUUCGCAA
rnacentral:lncRNA from 1 species